rnacentral:rRNA from 1 species
GGCAAUGGGGGAAACCCUGACCGAGCAACGCCGCGUGAAGGAAGAAGGUUUUCGGAUUGUAAACUUCUGUUAUAAAGGAAGAACGGCGGCUACAGGAAAUGGUAGCCGAGUGACGGUACUUUAUUAGAAAGCCACGGCUAACUACGUGCCAGCAG